rnacentral:lncRNA from 1 species
AGAAUCUAUCUCUAUAGGAAAGAAAUGUCAUUUUAAGAAACACCAACCCAAAUAAUUUAUCAUGUCACCUCUCCCUCCCCAUUUUCCCCACCAAGUGAGCGAGUGAAAGGUAUUCAGAAAACACGUUAAUCAAAGUGGGCAGAAGAACCCUUUUUAAAUGGCGAGGAAAUGUCCCUAAGUUGAGGUUUAUCAUCUUUCCUUUGGGGCAAAAAUCCAGUGUCCCCAGCAUGUCAUGAUUGAACUUUGUCUCACAGCAGCCAAGUGUACUGAAAAUAAAGUUGUUUUAUGUGCUUAGGGAAUAGAACAUUGUUAGUUGGGGCAGAUUUAGUGAUAUAAGAACAGGUCUUAGGGCCAUGCCUGUGUUCUGAAAUUCUUAUGUCCUAGGCCUCAGCCUUCUUUAUCCACCCUUGGCCAGACUCAGAAGGGGAUUAGAGAGCUCUGCCCUUGACCCCUUUCUUCCCUGUCAUUCUUCCUAGUCUUUCUGUGACCUAUCCAUGGUGUGUAGACAAGGACACAGGAGAAUGUAGGGCUUUGUUUCUUUUUUUCUCUUGGCUGUUCUCUUAGUUGUAUGAGUUUUAGAUUAGGCCUUCUGGACACUUGUUCACUGAUGAAGCUCAAGUCUGAGAACAAGCCCUGACAAUAUCGUAGGUGCUUAAUAAAUAUUAGUGGAAUAAAUGACUUAAGUGCCAAGAGGAGCUCUUCUGGUUAAACAAAUUUCUCAAAUAGAACUUGAGAAAGGACACUAAUUAAAUGGGGUGAUCUUAACCCAGGCCAGGAUCUAACCUUAAUGGUUUGCCUACUCACCUUUGUCAUGGUAAUAUUUGCUAAGACAAGCCUUCUUAAAUAAAAAUGAAUUCUCUUUUAUUGGUUGAUGAAAAAGAGGGUUGCUUUUCAUAACUCACUUUGGCUUAAUCUGACUCAUAAGACUACCAGAGACCAUGCCUGCUUCCAUUUUGAUGAGAUCUUUUCCUUUUUUAAAAUAAAGUUACUUAAUAUAUGGCAAAACUUUUCAGUUCCCAAUGCAUCAUAUUCAUGUCAUAGAGUCAGGUUUGGAGAAUCUGCAAAAUCACAUAGCUCGCUCAUAUGAAUGAUAUGGCUCCAUAUAGACUGCAUCCUCGAAGGAUUUUAGGCUUUCUCCCUUACCUGUGCAAGGCUUUUUAUUCCCUUAUAUGCUUUUGUUACAUGUACUGAAUUAUGUUAACAUUUAAAUUUGAUUAUAUGGGGCCAUAUAAUCCUUUCUGUGGAUUACUUGGAGUAGGCCAUUAGCUCUUCCUGACUUUUUUUUCCCCUCUUUUUUAAAGUCAUUUCAUAUUAGCACCUCUUCCUGAGUAAAGAAUCAAUAACCAAAAAUGAAAGUGAAAUGGAUUGAUUUGACCUUGUGUCAAUUUCUGAGUGAGAGUUUGCUAAGAAAGGUAAAAACCACUGACCACAAUAAAAUAUUUGGAUUGGGGUUACUUAUUUUAAGCAGUUUAGACUUGUUGGAGAGAGGAGGCAGAGUUUAACAAGGACUGGACUCUUCUUUUUUCUUCUGUUCAUGAGCGUAUGCCUUUGGAGGACACUGGUGACUUCCAGUAUUAGAUAAUGAUUUGCCUCAUUUACCCUUUGAGCUCACCCAUAAUUUUUCCCAGGCCCAGCAUCCACUUUCAGUUAAUGAGUCUUUCUGGAUAAAUAUCAGUUGCAAGUGAUUUUGAAUUGGUCCUCUGACUAAAAUGAAAACAUUGUUUUUAAAAAAAUAAACCACGCUACGUAAAUGAGAUCAUAUUAUAAUCAGACAGGACUAUUUUUUUCCCCCAAGUAUCAAACCAAUGGUGUUAAAGAUUUUGUUAAAGAUGUUUCUUUAUCCUGCAGAACUCUCUGUAUUUCAUGAUCACAAGUAUUUUAGUGACCUCUGCUUAGCCUCUGGAAGAGGUCUUCUACGGUUUAUACAUUCUUUUUUGUAGAUUUUUUUUUUUUUUGGCUACGCCCAUGGCAUGUAAAAGGUCCUGGGCCUGGGAUGGAAUCCACACCACAGCAGCGACCCCCGUUGCUGCGGUGACAAUACCAAAUCCUUAACCUGCUGCACCACAAGGGAACGCCUCUAGAAUUUCUGUGUGUUUUAAUGCAACUAUAAUACUCUUGAGACUUAACCAGAAAAUCAAAAGCAGUGAAAAAAAACGUGUAUCACAUCCUUCUGACAGAAUGUGCUCCACAUAUGAGUAUGGUUGAACACCAAUUUUGGGAUAAGAGAAGGAUGUGUUUUCUUUGUCUUUUUUUUUUGGAUUUUGUAUCUGUGACAUGAGCCUAUUUGUGUUUGGAGGGAAAACUGCCUUCCCCUACAUUCUUCACACUGGGGAGACAGCAUACUGAAUUAAGAAAUUAUCUUCUCUUCUAAUAGCUCAUGAGUAUAAUAAUGUUAGAGCAAGGGAGAUGACAUUAGAACAUUGCAGUCAUUUUGGGGAGCCAUAGUUUCAAAAUAAAUUGAGGCAUAAUGAAGAUAGUGAAGGAGUUUAAAAUUGAAGACAGUUGAAGAAUAUUUGAAGGAUUUGGGGAAAUGUGGUUUGGGAAAGAGAGAGGCAUAUCAUUAGUACAAGAGAGCAAGACUCUGAUUCAAAGGGGUAGAAUGAGGCCCAGAGAAUAGAGGUCAUCGGGCCUCUAUUUGAACUUCAUGCUAGGAAGAACGUCUCAAAAAGUUGUUUCACCACGGAAGGGGCUGCUCUAGGUGAUAGUCUCUGUCAAGCAAAGGCUAGAUAAGAACUUAGCAAAGAUGAUGUGGAGACGAUCCCAGCAUUUGUUGGGGUAGACCAGAUGACCUAUUAAAAUUCUAUGUUGCAGUAAUAUGCUCCUCAAAACAUGUUGAAUUAAAUAUCUGUGACCCAGAGCUAAUGAUUUUUUUUUCAAGCUUCGCCCUUCUGCCCAAAGUGCAUCCCAUCCUAUAGGAAGGAAGUUGAUUACAUGUCAUUAGUUGAAGAGCCUGGCUUGCCGUUAUGCCCUAGGCUGGGAUUGCUUUGCCAGUCCAUUCGUUGACGUCCUGUUGAAAUCACAAACUAAUUCUUGAGUUAAAGAUUAAACAGGUAUUAUUUUUAAUAGAAGUUACAUGAAAUCAUGGAAAUUAUGUAUUUGUUAUUUGCCAAACAUAGGCCAGGCUCAGUUUCAGUAACUAAUUGGUGUCUUCAGAGUUUCAGGAUAGGUCUUUUUAGCAGAGUAAAAUCUUCAGCUAAAGAUUCCAUAAAUAUACCGACAUGAAGUUUUGCAGCUCCUAUCAUAGAUGAGCUGGUGGUCACUGGCAGAAAGCGAUCCCCAAGAUCUAUUAUGGAAAAAUCUCACAUGACAUUUGGUUAGUUGGUUUGAUUCUCUUGGAAAAAACGUGAUCUGGAAAUGAUUUUAAAAGAACAGAGGUCAGCUCUUUCAAUCCCUGGCUCCACGCAGUGGGUUAAGGAUCCUGUGUUGCUUCCCCUGUGGCGUAGGUUGCAGAUGCAGCCUGGAUUUGAUCCCGUCUGGGAACUUCCAUAUGCCAUGUGUGCAGCUGAAAAAAGCAAAAAAAAAAAAAAAA